UGAUCCCACGCUUUCGCACAUCAGCGUCAGUUACAGACCNGAAAGUCGCCUUCGCCACUGGUGUUCCUCCAUAUCUCUGCGCAUUUCACCGCUACACAUGGAAUUCCACUUUCCUCUUCUGCACUCAAGUUUUCCAGUUUCCAAUGACCCUCCACGGUUGAGCCGUGGGCUUUCACAUCAGACUUAAAAAACCGCCUACGCGCGCUUUACGCCCAAUAAUUCCGGAUAACGCUUGCCACCUACGUAUUACCGCGGCUGCUGGCACGUAGUUAGCCGUGGCUUUCUGAUUAGGUACCGUCAAGACGUGCAUAGUUACUUACACAUUUGUUCUUCCCUAAUAACAGAGUUUUACGAUCCGAAGACCUUCAUCACUCACGCGGCGUUGCUCCGUCAGGCUUUCGCCCAUUGCGGAAGAUUCCCUACUGCUGCCUCCCGUAGGAGUCUGGACCGUGUCUCAGUUCCAGUGUGGCCGAUCACCCUCUCAGGUCGGCUACGCAUCGUUGCCUUGGUAAGCCGUUACCUUACCAACUAGCUAAUGCGGCGCGGAUCCAUCUAUAAGUGACAGCAAAACCGUCUUUCACUAUUGAACCAUGCGGUUCAAUAUAUUAUCCGGUAUUAGCUCCGGUUUCCCGAAGUUAUCCCAGUCUUAUAGGUAGGUUAUCCACGUGUUACUCACCCGUCCGCCGCUAACGUCAGAGGAGCAAGCUCCUCGUCUGUUCGCUCGACUGCAUGUAUAAGCACGCCGCCAGCGUUCAUCCUGAGCANGAU
rnacentral:rRNA from 1 species